AACGAACGCUGGCGGCAGGCUUAACACAUGCAAGUCGAACGCCCCGCAAGGGGAGUGGCGGACGGGUGAGUAACGCGUGGGAAUCUACCUAGUUCUACGGAACAACAGUUGGAAACGACUGCUAAUACCGUAUACGCCCUACGGGGGAAAGAUUUAUCGGAAUUAGAUGAGCCCGCGUAAGAUUAGCUAGUUGGUGGGGUAAUGGCCUACCAAGGCGACGAUCUUUAGCUGGUCUGAGAGGAUGAUCAGCCACACUGGGACUGAGACACGGCCCAGACUCCUACGGGAGGCAGCAGUGGGGAAUAUUGGACAAUGGGCGCAAGCCUGAUCCAGCCAUGCCGCGUGAGUGAUGAAGGCCUUAGGGUUGUAAAGCUCUUUCACCGAUGAAGAUAAUGACGGUAGUCGGAGAAGAAGCCCCGGCUAACUUCGUGCCAGCCGCCGCAGUAACAC
rnacentral:rRNA from 1 species